AGAGUUUGAUCCUGGCUCAGGAUGAACGCUAGCGACAGGCUUAACACAUGCAAGUCGAGGGGCAGCAUGAUUUGUAGCAAUACAGAUUGAUGGCGACCGGCGCACGGGUGAGUAACGCGUAUGCAACUUACCUAUCAGAGGGGGAUAGCCCGGCGAAAGUCGGAUUAAUACCCCAUAAAACAGGGGUCCCGCAUGGGAAUAUUUGUUAAAGAUUCAUCGCUGAUAGAUAGGCAUGCGUUCCAUUAGGCAGUUGGCGGGGUAACGGCCCACCAAACCGACGAUGGAUAGGGGUUCUGAGAGGAAGGUCCCCCACAUUGGUACUGAGACACGGACCAAACUCCUACGGGAGGCAGCAGUGAGGAAUAUUGGUCAAUGGCCGAGAGGCUGAACCAGCCAAGUCGCGUGAAGGAAGAAGGAUCUAUGGUUUGUAAACUUCUUUUAUAGGGGAAUAAAGUGGAGGACGUGUCCUUUUUUGUAUGUACCCUAUGAAUAAGCAUCGGCUAACUCCGUGCCAGCAGCCGCGGUAAUACGGAGGAUGCGAGCGUUAUCCGGAUUUAUUGGGUUUAAAGGGAGCGCAGACGGGAGAUUAAGUCAGUUGUGAAAGUUUGCGGCUCAACCGUAAAAUUGCAGUUGAUACUGGUUUCCUUGAGUGCAGUUGAGGCAGGCGGAAUUCGUGGUGUAGCGGUGAAAUGCUUAGAUAUCACGAAGAACCCCGAUUGCGAAGGCAGCUUGCUAAACUGUAACUGACGUUCAUGCUCGAAAGUGUGGGUAUCAAACAGGAUUAGAUACCCUGGUAGUCCACACGGUAAACGAUGGAUACUCGCUGUUGGCGAUAUACUGUCAGCGGCCAAGCGAAAGCAUUAAGUAUCCCACCUGGGGAGUACGCCGGCAACGGUGAAACUCAAAGGAAUUGACGGGGGCCCGCACAAGCGGAGGAACAUGUG
rnacentral:rRNA from 1 species